CCACAUGUGACUGAGGUGAAAUUAUCAGGGGUGUAUAUUCUUCUAUAAUCCCCCCCCCUGGGGUGGGGGAAAAGAAUCAAAGGGUCUUAGGGCUAGGGAAGAAAAUCAAAGAAGAGUAGAAAAAAUGGAAAGGCAGGGGGAAAAGAAGAGAAAAAUUUCCGUGGGUAAUUCGUGAAAAUCAGUGUUUCCACUUUCCAAAAUGAUUUUUUCUAAUUUUUUCCUAAUGGAAAGUAACUUAAAUAAAUAUGAAAAGCUUUACUGAGGAUUGCAAAUUUAGUAAAUAAUAACUUAUAUAACUAGCUAAUUUAUAAUUUAGGUAUUUUAUUCUAUCUUGGGGAGGGGACAAAUAUACUAUGUCACAGUAUUACUAUUAUAGGUACAGGCCGUUGAGGCUGAUGUAGUAAAGAUAUAGGGAAAAGAACAUAGACGG